rnacentral:rRNA from 1 species
CAGUAACGGCGAGUGAAGCGGCAACAGCUCAAAUUUGAAAUCUGGCUCCUUCGGGGUCCGAAUUGUAAUUUGUAGAGAGUGCUUCGGGCGAGACCUCGGUCUAAGUCCAUUGGAACAUGGUGUCAUAGAGGGUGAGAAUCCCGUAUGCGACCGUGGCUCGAGCCCAUGUGAAGCCUCUUCGACGAGUCGAGUUGUUUGGGAAUGCAGCUCAAAAUGGGUGGUAAAUUUCAUCUAAAGCUAAAUAUUGGCUGGAGACCGAUAGCGCACAAGUAGAGUGAUCGAAAGAUGAAAAGCACUUUGGAAAGAGAGUCAAACAGUACGUGAAAUUGUUGAAAGGGAAGCGCUUCCAACCAGACCUGCCCGUAGGCGAUCAGGCGCUGUUCUCAGCGGUGUACUCGCUCUGCGAUCAGGCCAGCAUCGGUUUCGGCGGUCGGAUAAAGACCUUGGGAAUGUAGCUUCCCUUCGGGGAAGUCUUAUAGCCCUCGGUGUAAUGCGGCCAGCCGGGACCGAGGACCGCGCUUCGGCUAGGAUGCUGGCGUAAUGGUUGUAAGCGACCCGUCUUGAAACACGGACCAAGGAGUCUAACAUCUAUGCGAGUGUUUGGGUGUCAAACCCAUACGCGGAAUGAAAGUGAACGGAGGUGAGAACCCUCAAGGGAGCAUCAUCGACCGAUCCAGAUGUCUUCGGAUGGAUUUGAGUAUGAGCAUAGCUGUUGGGACCCGAAAGAUGGUGAACUAUGCCUGAAUAGGGUGAAGCCAGAGGAAACUCUGGUGGAGGCUCGCAGCGGUUCUGACGUGCAAAUCGAUCGUCAAAUUUGGGUAUAGGGGCGAAAGACUAAUC